UACGUAGGGUGCAAGCGUUGUCCGGAAUUAUUGGGCGUAAAGAGCUCGUAGGCGGCUUGGCAAGUCGGGUGUGAAAACUCCAGGCUCAACCUGGAGACGCCACCCGAUACUGCCAUGGCUUGAGUCCGGUAGGGGACCACGGAAUUCCUGGUGUAGCGGUGAAAUGCGCAGAUAUCAGGAGGAACACCGGUGGCGAAGGCGGUGGUCUGGGCCGGUACUGACGCUGAGGAGCGAAAGCGUGGGGAGCGAACAGG
rnacentral:rRNA from 1 species